rnacentral:rRNA from 1 species
GAUGAACGCUGGCGGCGUGCCUAAUACAUGCAAGUCGAGCGAACGGACGAGAAGCUUGCUUCUCUGAUGUUAGCGGCGGACGGGUGAGUAACACGUGGAUAACCUACCUAUAAGACUGGGAUAACUUCGGGAAACCGGAGCUAAUACCGGAUAAUAUUUUGAACCGCAUGGGUCAAAAGUGAAAGACGGUCUUGCUGUCACUUAUAGAUGGAUCCGCGCUGCAUUAGCUAGUUGGUAAGGUAACGGCUUACCAAGGCAACGAUGCAUAGCCGACCUGAGAGAGUGAUCGGCGACACUGGAGCUGAGACACGGUCCAGACUCCUACGGGAGGCAGCAGUAGGGAAUCUUCCGCAAUAGGCGAAAGCCUGACGGAGCAACGCCGCGUGAGUGAUGAAGGUCUUCGGAUCGUAAAACUCUGUUAUUAGGGAAGAACAUAUGUGUAAGUAACUGUGCACAUCUUGACGGUACCUAAUCAGAAAGCCACGGCUAACUACGUG